rnacentral:rRNA from 1 species
UCGGCGUACACGGACGAACGCUGGCGGUGUGACUUCAAACAUAGCAAGUCGAACGGAAGUUAAUUUAGCUUGCUAAAUUAACUUAGUGGCGGACUGGUGAGUAACGCGUGAGUAAUCUGCCUAUUACAGGGGGAUAACAGUUGGAACGACUGCUAAUACCGCAUAAGACCACGGGAAGGCAUCUUCAAGGGGUCAAAGGGAUACUGGUAAUAGAUGAGCUUGCGUAUCAUUAGCUAGAUGGUGAGGGUAAAGGCCCACCAUGGCGACGAUGAUUAGCCGAUCUGAGAGGAUGACCGGCCACACUGGAACUGAGAUACGGUCCAGACUCCUACGGGAGGCAGCAGUUAGGAAUAUUGGGCAAUGGAGGAAACUCUGACCCAGCAACGCCGCGUGAAGGAAGAAGGUUUUCGGAUUGUAAACUUCUGAUCUUGGGGAAAAAAGAAAGUGAUGGUACCCAAGGAGAAAGCCACGGCUAACUACGUG